rnacentral:rRNA from 1 species
UACGUAGGGUGCGAGCGUUGUCCGGAAUUAUUGGGCGUAAAGAGCUCGUAGGCGGUCUGUCGCGUCGGUCGUGAAAACUUGGGGCUUAACCCUGAGCUUGCGGUCGAUACGGGCAUGACUGGAGUUCGGCAGGGGAGACUGGAAUUCCUGGUGUAGCGGUGGAAUGCGCAGAUAUCAGGAGGAACACCGGUGGCGAAGGCGGGUCUCUGGGCCGAUACUGACGCUGAGGAGCGAAAGCGUGGGAGCGAACAGG